AUAAACAGAUAGAAUGACAGCCUU
rnacentral:miRNA from 1 species